rfam:Vitis vinifera, whole genome shotgun sequence of line PN40024, unoriented chromosome 18, chr18
GCCUUACACUUGAUCUCUGAACUGCAGGUAAGUUCACUUGUUGACAAAUUUACAUUACUGAUGCA